CUGGUCACACUAACUGAUAUCGGUCUUUGUUUUGGUUUUUUUUUUGUUUGUUGUUCUUAGAUGAUAAGAAAUUGGGAGGAAAACAAAAUAGCCAAAUGUGAACCGUUAGAACAAAAUGGUGGCCUAUACGCAAGUGGAACAUCCGCCCAGGAGGCAACUUCUCAGCCCCCUAAGAUCCCUAAUCAUCUGCCUGGCUGGGAUCUCACUGUUGUUGUUGUUAUCGCUGGGUUUCUGGACGAGAUUCGGGGAGAACGGCGGCCAGUGGUCAUCUGGUGGCGAAGAACAACGCCUGGUGUGCUACUACGCCACCAAUGACGCCCACAAUCUCAGGCUGGUGGACGUGCCGGGCGACUUGUGCACCCACAUCAACAUUGGACCCGCCUUUCUGGACAACUCCAGUCUGGUUCUGCCCGCCGACCUGCAGCGGGUGCUCCGGAAUGACAGUAUUAGCUUCCGCAGUGCCCAUCCCCAGGUGCACCAGCUGCUGUGGAUUGGUGGCGCCGACAGCGGAGAGCAGUUCGCUCACAUGGUGGCGAACCACGACCGGCGGAAAGUGUUCCUCCGGUCGUUGCGAGAAGUCCUGCGCACCUAUCCCAGCCUGGAUGGCAUCGAUCUGGACUGGGAGUUCCCCAGUGCCUACAACGAGGAGCGGAUGCACUUCAGCCAGCUGCUCUACGAGAUCCGGACGGAGUGGCGGCGCGAGAAACGCGACAAGGACAUCCUAUCGCUGGCGGUGGCGGCGCCCGAGGGCAUCGCCUUCUACGCCUACAACAUCCGGGAGCUGAAUCUGUACGCCGAUUAUGUCAACCUGAUGUCCUACGACUUCCACUUCUAUCGCAAGGACAUGCCGUUUACGGGCCUGAAUGCCCCGCUCUAUGCCCGCCCCCAGGAGCACUCCCUGAUGGGCACCUUCAACAUCAACUACACGGUCCAGUGGUGGCUAUCGAAUGGCCUGGAGCCGCACCGUUUGGUGGUGGGUCUGCCCACCUAUGGACACUCCUUCACGCUCGUGAAUGCCCUCAACCGGCGGGUGGGUGCUCCAGCCCAGGGCUAUGGCCGAUGUGGAAGUCUCGGCUUCACAACGCUCUCGGAGACGUGCCGGUGCGUUGGGAACUUCCCAAAUCCCGUCUACAGCUUCGAUCCAGAGGCCUGCUCCCCCUACCUCAGUAUGCUCCACGAGUGGAUCUCGUACGAGAACCAGACGAGCAUCAAGUGCAAGGCUAGCUAUGUGAGGAACUUGAAUCUGGGGGGGAUUAUGGUGUUCUCCCUGAAUAGUGAUGAUCUGGAGAAUGCCUGUGAUCUUAUACGUAAUUGGAAUGGAAAGCCAGUCUUUCCGCUCAUCCAGACGGUGAAGGAGGUCCUGGAUGGGCCUAAGGCAGGAGCAGAUCAGGACUAGGAUGUGGACCAGACCAGGACCAGGACGUGGACCAGGAGUAGACGAUAACUUUAUAUAGAGAACAUGCACAGGAUCAGGAGACAUCAGAAGACAUCUGGAGCCAUUAGGACAUCAAGGACAUCAGUAUAUAUAUAUAUAUAUAUGGUACAUAUUGGCAUGUAUGGUACAUAUGGUUG